rnacentral:tRNA from 1 species
GCGGGUGUAGUUUAAUGGUAAAACUCUAGCCUUCCAAGCUAAUGUCGUGGGUUCGAUUCCCAUCACCCGCU